rnacentral:lncRNA from 1 species
AGAAGUAUUACUUCACAGUUGCAUUGGCUUCCUGUGGCCGCCAAUAGAGGCAGCAUCUGGCAGAAAGCCCACCACAGAGAAGAGGGAACUCCACGGAGAAGAAAAUAGUAACGAGGCCCCAAAGGUGGAAGUACAGCCUGAGAAACUUUGCCCAGGCUGGGACUGGCUGCCCUGCCUGCUUGUCUUGCUGCUCUUGCAGGGCCUAAGGUGUGGUAUCCCCUCAGGCUUUAAAAUCCCGAUAUCUCUCCCAUGGUGAGCACUUUUUAUAAGCGCUCUUCAUAUAUUCUUUAAUCUGUGUCAUUUAUUCCAUGUCAUGAAGCUAUGAGGCAGGUGCUAUUAUUAACUUCAUUUUUCAGAUGGAAACACUGAAGCUCAGAGGUGAAAUAAUUGCCCCACGACCCAGAGAAGUCAAGGUUUGAAACCCCCACAUGGCCAGCCUUGAAGCCCGGACUACUGAGACCGCAGCAACUGAGUUCUCAAGUGAAUAGCAAGAAGAUGAGGGAAACAAUGGGGCUCUCCUGAAAGCCCCCGGAGGAAGCGUCUACGGAUAUCUUUUUGGCCAGACCUGGGUUGUAGACACUUCAGCUUCAAGGGGCUCUGGGGAGGUAUGUGAUCUUCCAUGGGCAGCCUGCUGCCCUAAGCCCAGCUGGAGCCCUGUUAGUGAAGAACAAGGAGAGACUGGAGACCGGAGGCCAACCAGGGCAUCUGCCACUCUACUGCCACAAAUAAGUAGAUCAGCUGGGUUCCAAGGCUCUGGCGCAGUCUCAGAAGCGCAGAUGAAAGUAAUCCAGGUUGGCCAAGAGGGCUUCAUGGGAUGCCUCUGUAGCUCAUAGACCCGUGGUUCCUGUGUGUCUGCCGUGGGAAGCUCAGUAGGUAGAAAAAGAGGCUCUUUCUCAAGGCUGGCAGAGCCCCGGGUUGGGGCCACCCCUUGGCAAAUGGGGCGCAAGCAGGAUUUCAGCUUCAGCCAGCUCCUCAACCAGAUGUCUUUGUGCAGUGCACAAAUUGCACAACUGAACACAGAAGACCUUUGUAGCUAUCAGAGUAAAUUCGAAUUACAUAUCUGGUCCCUUCCUUUGUCCAAUCAGAGAUGAAAGCAGUACUGCUCCAGGAUAGUCAGGAAACAGAGGGCAAGGAAAAAAGUAGAGGGGAGUGUCAGAGCAGAAACCUCUAAAUAGUGGAGUUGACUGUUUUGAACCCUCAGCGUCAGCUGCUCCAUCUUACUUGGCUCAUUGUAAACCCACAGUCUCAGUUGGAAAGCCAAGAGGAUAUUUAUAUAGGGUGGAUCCAACCACAAACUAUCUGAAUUACUGUUGGAGAACCUGACUCUACUGUGCUCCAUAAGACUAGAGACAAUAUUUAUUUCAUUCACUGUUGUCUCCCCAGGUCUUCACAUGGUGCUUGAUAAAUAAGUGUUCAAUAAA